rnacentral:lncRNA from 13 species
AUGUUCUCCCUCUUACCUGAUCCCCCACUUUUCCUUUAUCUGAAUUGCAGUGUGACUGAUGAUCUCACUUCUACCAAAGUCAAGAAAAAUGCUCCUGUUGACCUCCCUGUGCACACAAGGAUUACAAACACUUGUCAGUGGAUGAACCAAAGCACUCCAAAGAAGGGCCCUAUUUGACUUAAUUGCUGACAGCCACAGGGAUGGACUCGGAAGAACUGGAGUUGACAACUACUCUGACCAUUCUGGGUAAAAUCAUGGAACUUGAGUUUUUUUAAUGUUAAAUUCAUGGCCACAGUAUUUGAGUGCAUGCAGGCAUCUCCUUGACACCUAUUCCUGAACAUCUCGGCAACAGUAUCCCUCUCUGUCCCAAGCUGCUGUAGGAUAGGUUGGUUUUGUAAUGCCAUUUCUUAACUGUUAAAGCCUUUAAAAGUGAAAUUGUUGUCUGAGGGACUAAUCAAUCCCUCACCCACUGCACACAAUGCUUCUUGAAACCAGCCAUUUCAUCAGCUUUCAUGCACUGAUGUAUUUCUCUCAGUGCUUUGAAGGUGACUUCAUUAUUGAAGCAGUGACACUGGUGCUGUGAGCUCAGAAUGAUGUGUUUGCUUUGGCAAACGGGACAGCUUGACUUGUAUCUUGGUAAAGGAGGAUCCUGUUGACUCUUUCUGCCUUUGCCCAAGGUUUCAGGUAGGGUC